rnacentral:rRNA from 1 species
GAUGAACGCUAGCGGCAGGCUUAACACAUGCAAGUCGAGGGGUAACAUUGUGCUUGCACAGAUGACGACCGGCGCACGGGUGCGUAACGCGUAUAGAACCUACCUUUUACAGGGGAAUAGCCCAGAGAAAUUUGGAUUAAUGCCCCAUAGUAUUAUUAGAUGGCAUCAUUUGAUAAUUAAACAUUUAUGGGUAAAAGAUGGCUAUGCGUUCUAUUAGCUAGAUGGUAAGGUAACGGCUUACCAUGGCAACGAUAGAUAGGGGUCCUGAGAGGGAGAUCCCCCACACUGGUACUGAGACACGGACCAGACUCCUACGGGAGGCAGCAGUGAGGAAUAUUGGACAAUGGAGGCAACUCUGAUCCAGCCAUGC